rnacentral:rRNA from 1 species
AGCAGUCGCCGCGGGAAAACAGAGGGUGCAAGCGUUAAUCGGAAUUACUGGGCGUAAAGCGCGCGUAGGUGGUUUGUUAAGUUGGAUGUGAAAUCCCCGGGCUCAACCUGGGAACUGCAUUCAAAACUGACUGACUAGAGUAUGGUAGAGGGUGGUGGAAUUUCCUGUGUAGCGGUGAAAUGCGUAGAUAUAGGAAGGAACACCAGUGGCGAAGGCGACCACCUGGACUAAUACUGACACUGAGGUGCGAAAGCGUGGGGAGCAAACAGGAUUAGAUACCCGUGUAGUCCCUGUCUCUUAUAC